UAUGGAAUCCUUCAUUUGUUUAGUCAUCACCAGUUACAGGAAUUUUUAUUAAUUGAAAGGGAUUGCUCAUUACAUGCAAUGGAUUACGAAGAAGAGUUGUCUGUCAUUAAUUCUCAACAAGAAUGAUGUUUACAAAUCUCAAGUACUCCAGAGUUGAAAUUGAUGAAGUGUGG